rnacentral:rRNA from 1 species
AUUGAACGCUGGCGGCAUGCCUUACACAUGCAAGUCGAACGGCAGCACGGGAGCAAUCCUGGUGGCGAGUGGCGAACGGGUGAGUAAUAUAUCGGAACGUGCCCGGUCGUGGGGGAUAACGUAGCGAAAGCUACGCUAAUACCGCAUACGAUCUACGGAUGAAAGCGGGGGAUCGCAAGACCUCGCGCGAUUGGAGCGGCCGAUAUCAGAUUAGGUAGUUGGUGAGGUAAAGGCUCACCAAGCCGACGAUCUGUAGCUGGUCUGAGAGGACGACCAGCCACACUGGGACUGAGACACGGCCCAGACUCCUACGGGAGGCAGCAGUGGGGAAUUUUGGACAAUGGGCGCAAGCCUGAUCCAGCAAUGCCGCGUGCAGGAUGAAGGCCUUCGGUUGGUAACUAGCUUUGUUACGGUAACGGAAACGGUA